rnacentral:rRNA from 1 species
CUUACAACUUUUAGCAACGGAUGUCUAGGUUCUCGCAAC